rnacentral:rRNA from 1 species
UACGUAGGGUGCAAACGUUGUUCGGAAUUACUGGGCGUAAAGCGCGUGUAGGCGGCAGGGCAUGUCGGAUGUGAAAUCCCGUGGCUCAACCACGGAAGUGCACCCGAAACUGCCCAGCUUGAGUCUCGGAGAGGAAGGCGGAAUGCUUGGUGUAGAGAUGAAAUUCGUAGAUAUCAAGCGGAACACCGGUGGCGAAGGCGGCCUUCUGGACGAUGACUGACGCUGAGACGCGAAAGCGUGGGGAGCAAACAGG